UACGAAGGGGGCUAGCGUUGUUCGGAAUUACUGGGCGUAAAGGGCGCGCAGGCGGCCCUCCAAGUCAGGCGUGAAAGCCCCGGGCUCAACCCGGGAACAGCGCUUGAGACUGGGGGGCUUGAGUUCGGGAGAGGAGAGUGGAAUUCCCAGUGUAGAGGUGAAAUUCGUAGAUAUUGGGAAGAACACCGGUGGCGAAGGCGGCUCUCUGGACCGACACUGACGCUGAGGCGCGAAAGCGUGGGGAGCGAACAGG
rnacentral:rRNA from 1 species